rnacentral:rRNA from 1 species
AGAGUUUGAUCCCUGGCUCAGAUUGAACGCUGGCGGCAUGCCUUACACAUGCAAGUCGAACGGUAACGCGGGGCAACCUGGCGACGAGUGGCGAACGGGUGAGUAAUGCAUCGGAACGUGCCCAGUAGUGGGGGAUAGCCCGGCGAAAGCCGGAUUAAUACCGCAUACGACCUUAGGGUGAAAGCGGGGGAUCGCAAGACCUCGCGCUAUUGGAGCGGCCGAUGUCGGAUUAGCUAGUUGGUGGGGUAAAAGCCUACCAAGGCGACGAUCCGUAGCUGGUCUGAGAGGACGACCAGCCACACUGGGACUGAGACACGGCCCAGACUCCUACGGGAGGCAGCAGUGGGGAAUUUUGGACAAUGGGCGCAAGCCUGAUCCAGCCAUGCCGCGUGCGGGAAGAAGGCCUUCGGGUUGUAAACCGCUUUUGUCAGGGAAGAAACGGUUUGAGCUAAUACCUCGAACUAAUGACGGUACCUGAAGAAUAAGCACCGGCUAACUACGUGCCAGCAGCCGCGGUAAUACGUAGGGUGCAAGCGUUAAUCGGAAUUACUGGGCGUAAAGCGUGCGCAGGCGGCUUUGCAAGACAGAUGUGAAAUCCCCGGGCUCAACCUGGGAACUGCAUUUGUGACUGCAUCGCUCGAGUGCGGCAGAGGGGGAUGGAAUUCCGCGUGUAGC